GACGAACGCUGGCGGCGUGCCUAAUACAUGCAAGUCGAACGCAGUGGGGACGGGUGAGUAACACGUGGGUAACCUCCCAUCAGAGGGGAUAACACUUGGAAACAGGUGCUAAACCGAUACUGAUUGAUGGACCCGCGGUGCAUUAGCUAGUUGGUGGGGUAACGGCUCACCAAGGCCACGAUGCAUAGCCGGCCUGAGAGGAUGAUCGGCCAAACGGGGACUGAGACACGGCCCAGACUCCUACGGGAGGCAGCAGUAGGGAAUAUUGGGCAAUGGACGAAAGGCUGACCGAGCAACGCCGCGUGAGUGAAGAAGGUUUUCGGAUCGUAAAACUCUGUUGUUAGAGAAGCGGUAUCUAACCAGAAAGCAACGGCUAACUACGUGCCAGCAGCCGCGGUAAUUC
rnacentral:rRNA from 1 species